AUUGAACGCUGGCGGCAUGCUUUACACAUGCAAGUCGAACGGCAGCGGGGUAGUGCUUGCACUACUGCCGGCGAGUGGCGAACGGGUGAGUAAUAUAUCGGAACGUACCGAGUAAUGGGGGAUAACCAAUCGAAAGAUUGGCUAAUACCGCAUACGUCCUGAGGGAGAAAGCGGGGGAUCGCAAGACCUCGCGUUAUUCGAGCGGCCGAUAACUGAUUAGCUAGUUGGUGGGGUAAAGGCCUACCAAGGCGACGAUCAGUAGCGGGUCUGAGAGGACGAUCCGCCACACUGGGACUGAGACACGGCCCAGACUCCUACGGGAGGCAGCAGUGGGGAAUUUUGGAUAAUGGGGGCAACCCUGAUCCAGCCAUGCCGCGUGUAUGAAGAAGGCCUUCGGGUUGUAAAGUACUUUUGUUAGGGAAGAAAAGGGAAGUGCUAAUACCACUUUUUGCUGACGGUACCUAAAGAAUAAGCACCGGCUAACUACGUG
rnacentral:rRNA from 1 species